CCUGCAGUCUCCAUUUUAUGGUUCUGACGCAGAAAAUAAGCAGGAGGCUGAGCAGACCCCCCCAAGCUGCCUGGAAGCAGGAUGGAGCUCAGGUUUCAGCCCUUGUCCGGGUUCCCCAGCCGAGAGGGACUUUCCUGUUUUCAUUGUUCGGGACGCUGAGAUCUGUCCUUGUUCUUUCUUUCCUUCCUGCCCGUGCGUGUCUGGGGGGGGGAGGCUGUUGCCCCUGCUCUGUCACCAACAACUCCUGGCAACAGCACCUUUCCCAGCUGUGUGGAGAGUCCCAGGAGAGCUGCCAGCCUGUGGUAUUGAGCAACUCUUGUCAUCAUCGCUGUUUGGAGGAACUUUUUCUGUGUUAUUCAUCACUGCAUCCUUCAUGUUGUGCAGUGCUGUGGCGUGAGCAGGCGUUUCCCAAUCCAGAAUAUGAAGCAAGCCAGUGAUCCAAACUGCUGGAGGCUUCUUCCACUUCACUGAACCAACCAAAAAAAAAUGCUGGGGGCUCAGAGCUAGACUGAGGGAUCUGUGGUGCCUUCCUGGUCUCUGCAUCUCUGCAGGCUCUUGCUCUGCACAGCACAUCUCUCCCUCCUGUGAGAGGUCUGUGAACUUCCGUAGGGCUCCUGGGAUUGUCUGUGGGUUUUCCAGGCUAAGGAGUGCAGUUCAAGGGCUUUGGAGGGGGGAUUUUUGUGGCAUCUCAAACCUGAGAACCAAACUGCAGGGCCCUCACCCUUACAGAUGCACUUGGGGCUCAGAGGACUCUCUCUGGAAGGGAUGCUGACUCUGCCCUUGCUGAUUCAUUCAGCCCUUGCUGAUGAACCUUCUGGAAGCAUCUCCUGCUCCCAGAGUGGCCUGAGUAUGAUCCUGUGUGUGGGCUCCAUCUCCUUGUCUCAAAGCAGGUCCCAACGUGUGGGUGUCCUCAGGGGGAUGGCUCUAGCCUGGAGACUCUGGAGCAGAGAUGCACAGAACUAGAGAAUUCAUCUCUCUGCAAGUGUCUGCUGAGAACUCGAGGACAAGCUUAAACAGGACAAAAGGACAGAUUUUUAAUGUGCAGUGGAAUAUUCUGAACUUCCCAGCUGACACAGAUAAGAUAAGAGUGACAAAUCUGUGGGGGAAAAUUGACA